CGGUGCAUCAAGCAAAGAUUCCGAGGCGAGGGAGCGGCAUGGGGGACCCGGUGCCCGGAGGGGGGCCCGAAGUUGAUGCACUAACCUGCUCCAGUGACUCCCCGCUGAGAAGGCCAGCACUGCCACUCACCUGCCUGCUCCAGAAGACAAAGGGGCCAGAGGGAGUGUCCAGCGGUCUCGUGGGGAUUCCUGGCCUUCACUAGAGCUCUGAGCCCAAUGUGCCAGCCUUGGAGGGAGAACUAAGGUGGCUUAACUGAGAACAGACUCCUCUGGACUGAGCCGGUCUGCCGAGAGACAGCGAGCCUGGACUGACGUCGGUGUCCUGGGCUGUUGCCAGGACCCUCCUAUGCUCCCCUUCAAUCUUGCUUUGCACUUCUGAGAGCUGUUUCCCGGGCCCUCAGGCCUCUUACUUGGAGAAGCUAGCUACGCCUAUUCCCAUCUGUGAGAGUACAAUUCAGUGGCAUUAAAUACAUCCUCGAUGCUGUGUGCCCAUCACCAUUAUCUAUACUCCAAACUAUUUUUCAAUGUAAAGUAUUUAUUUUGUAAGUCCUAAAAUUAUCAACUAAGAUUUUAUAAAAUAGUGUGAACACACACACAAAAAAAUCAAAUCACAUUCUAUUUUUGAAAUAGUACCAAAAAAUCUAUUGAUAGUACCAAAACUAUUAAUAUUACAAAAAAGUAUCAACGAUGUUCAAUUCAUAUUUUAUGUCCAAACAUACCCUAACCAUAGUUAUCUGCAUUAUUGUGGGCUACUUUAUAUGAUCAUUCUGAUUUUAGGACAAAGUCAUUGUUUAUAAAAGAUGUAUUAUAUCCAAGGAAUGCUAUUCCUCAAAACUUAUGGACAAUGAGGAAUAUAACUCAUUUCCAUAAUAACUUCCCUUUGGUUCCAACUAUCAACAUAUUCUGUAUCAUGAAAAAGAUAAUAAAUAAAAAUUACAAAGAUAACCUGAACA